GGAGGACUCCUCCUCCCAAUACCACUUUGGGAGUCUGCUGCCGCAUUGAUUGUGUGGGUGCACAAAUGAUGAAGCCUGGAGGAGGAGGAGGUGCCAAUAAUGUGGAGAAAGGCAGAUAAUGAAACCGGAUUAGACACCCGUGAAUACAUGAAGCCACGGAUAUAGAGUCCACAUAUAACAAGAUGAUGAACAUGAUCCUCUAAGAUCAGUAUGCUAUUUGUAUUCAGGCCUUCCACUGAGCUCUGCCUCCUCAAGCCCGCCUUGCCUGCCAAGAAUAGAUUCAUCUACAUUCUGUCUGUGUUGCCUUGUGUUGAUUUUAAAAUGUUAAGGCAAUAGCAUUGCAUUUAUUGUCAACUUGGGACUAUAUCUUAAGUUUCAACCUCUAACGUUUUGAUAUUUCUCUCAAACCAAAAUGCUAUGCAUGUCUCUGUGGGGUUGGUAGGGAAUUUGUAUAUCUUUAAAGCAAAACAUUAUUGAUAUUUGUGUUUGGCUACUAUUAAGAUUUAUUAAUCCUUGUGAUCUAAUAAUGUCUUAGAUGUGACUCAAUCAAUACCAUUUGUGCCAAUAAAUCUUAAUAUUUGAAAC